rnacentral:lncRNA from 1 species
UCCAUGAUCCUUGUGCGCCAUCCUUCCAGUGAUGAGUCCUCCAAGAACUAGUACACGCUAUUACAUCUAAUAGCUAGUAAAGAAUAUUACAUAGUUGCUUGGAUCAUCACAGAUUAGCACGUAGGCCAUUUAAUUACAUUAAGGUGACAAUACAUAUGGCUCCAGCCAUAUUACUGUACGCGUGACACGUAGGUCUAGGUCAUGAAUCAGUUACACACAUG